rnacentral:lncRNA from 1 species
GACUCACCAUCUGGGGCACACCAAAAAUGACAACAUUGGAGUACUGUGCAAAGGUGACCUGAACGAGAUGGAAACAAAGGCAGGUUAAUUCUAAGCCAUGCACCGUGUUUCACAGGAGCCCACGCUGGAGGAGGGCAGGUUUUCAGUCCCCCAAAGAACAGCCACAAGAGGCACAACAAAAAGAAAACACUGCCACAUGUACUUUGGCAUACACCAGUGAAUGCAUCAGCUUUCCAGAUGCAUCCUGGGACACAUCUCAUCCUCACGGGGACUCCUUCAGGGCAGGACUCUGCCCUGCUUCUGGUCCAACACCCAAAGCCACCUGCCUCACCCUGUGGCGUCUUCCUCUUCCCUAACAGUUCAUUCAAAGUACAAUAAAAUGGUUUUUACAGCAGCUGAAAAAUGGGUUAAAAGUGCUUUGCCAGCCAAAACUCUUAUUGCCCAAUAAAAGUCCUAUUUACUCUAUGGAGACCACUCAGUUAUAUAGAGCCUGAAAACAAUACAAACAAAGUCCAAGUGUGCUAUCAUAGCUGCCGAGGACGGUGGUACAAGUGGCAAAUUCUUAUUUAAGAAAAAGCACUUUGUGAAGCUUUCCUAACACAAUAGACAGUCUGUGGCUUUAUUCAAGAGUACAGAUACAAGAUACUAAAGUGUAGCUCUCCACAACUGAGGAGCUCUGGAGGAGCUGAGGGUCAGAAAAGACUCGGAUUUUUAAAAGAGGCCGACCAUGGUGGUGUGACCAUGCUCCAGUGAAUAUACAGGCAACACAGACUGGACUGGUGGGGUUUUUCUUUCUUUUUUUGGGGGGUGGGGUCGGGUGGGGGGUGGGAGGGUGGGGGGGUGGGAGGAUGAUGGGGGCAGGGGAGGGGUAAGUUACAAAAGGAGAGGGCAGAGCUGGGAGGACUGAGAGGUGAGUGUGGUGGGGUGCGUGAUGUGAAAUUCCCAAAUAAUAAAAAUAUUGUGGAAAAGAGAAGAUACAAAUAUAUUUGGAAACUCCUCCCACUUAUGAGGACAAGAAGCUACCAUAGACUCUUCACUCUAUCUUCCAGCUUUGUCUCUUAACAUGCAACACACACAGAGAAACCAAAUAUUUAUCACGAAUAACCUAUGAUUUCCAAAUGAACUAUUUCAUUAUUUCAUAAGAAAAAUGAAACUGCUUGAAUUUGGUCAUAAAUUCAUAGCAUUCAUAUGACUUUUAUCAAAACUUGAAGCUUCUGCACUGAAGGAAGCCAUCAGUAAAUCCAUCAGUUUAAAAUGUGGAUACAUCUUGUUACGACACAAUAUUCAUUUGGACUGUGUUUUCUCUUGACUCGCUUUGUCAGUCAUCCUAAUUAUAAAUGAAUAGGGUCUAUUAGCUUUUGUAGCUCCAUCCUCCAGAGUUGUUACAUACCUUCCAGAGAUCUGAAAUAUAAAACUUGGCAGAGCCAUGCACGCCUGCCCUCCAGGCACGAUAUCUGGAGUACCAAACCAGCCAUGGAUUCAAUUCAUACCCCACCGCUGGGAAGCCUUCCUUUGCAGCUGCAAUCACCUGACAGAGGCAAGGGGUUAGCAACAGAAAGAAGUCAUCUUGUAUGAGAGUUCCCUAUUUAUGGUUUAUAACCCUAAACCAUCCUAUUAAAACAUACUUCUUGAGGUCUACUGGGAAAGAGGAAGGGAUCAGGGAGAGGAGAAAUAUGGUAGAUUUAAUGAUUUAAUGAGAAUGGCUCCCAUAGGCCAUAGUUGAAUACUUGGUCCCCAGUUAGUGAAACUGUUUGGAACGGAUUAAUAAGAGUGGCCUUAUUCGAGGAGGUGUAUCACUGGGGGCACGCUUUGAGGUUUCAAAAGCCCAAGCCAUUCCCAGUUAGCUCCCUCCCUGCCUUUUGCACGUCAAUGAGAUGGGAGCUCUCAGCUAUUGUUCCAGUACACUGCCUGCUGCCAUGCUACCCACCAUGAUGGCCCUAUGUAACUGUAUCCCCCCCACCCCCACAAACUCUUCUUCUGUAAGGUGCCUUGGUCAUGGUGUCUUAUCACAGCAUUGGAACAGUAACUAAGACAGGAGCUAAGAGAAGUGGGUGGAGUGACAGGACCAAAGUGCGUGAUGUACAUGGGCAAAGUCUCACAAUGAAACUCAUUAUUUCAUGUAAGUAAUACAGGCUUUAAAAUGGCUACUGCCCCCUUUGAUGAAGACAACAUGUUUAAAAUGGUAUAUCUGAAGUUCUACCAUUCAUGGACAGGACAACAGCCAACCCAAAGUUUUCUCCAUUUUCUCAAAGAUUUCACCUUGAGUAUCAGAAGAGAGACACUCAGGGUUGUGUUGGACAAAUGUAUUCCUGAUUCUGGCUCAGCUAACCCUAGUGACAACAAACUGUAGCUGAAAAUCUGCACAUUUCUGCACCAGUGGCUGGCAGAGCAGGGAGGAAAAUGAAAGUCAACAACAGAUAAUAAGCAAUAAAAAUAACCUCCCCACGACCACAGCCUCAUGAGCUCCCAGCAUCUGUGGCUGCCUGCACGAGACAAAGCCAGUCAGCCUUCUAGCAUGGAAGAAGAAGGUGUUCCCAAGCCAGUGUCCACAGGACUAGUGAAAGUAAUGCAAUCUGCCUGGUCUGUACACUCAUGCUGCCAGAACACAAGCUCCGCCCAUUGUCUGCACUCCUGCUGUCAGGACGUGGCCGCCUGCCUCACCGAGAACCACUCACCUGCCAGGCAUGACCUUUUCUUUACUCAGAGAUUCAGGCUGGGAUCCCAGCAUGUUGAAGCCACUAAAAUUCUGAAUUUCCUUUUAGACAGGUCCUCAUGUGACCCAAAUUCUGUAUAUAGGAGAGGCUAGCCUUGAAGUCAUAAUCCUCCUGCCUCCACCUCCUGACUACUGGGACACAGCUACAUGCAGUUAUCCCCAUUUUGAAUUCCUAUCUUUAGUCAAUCAGGACUUCACUUUUCUUACUUAACUCUCUACCAAUUCCCAGGAAUCAUUCCUUACCCACGUGCCAAUACAGAGAAACAUAAAGCAAGCAUCUAGGCUGCAAAAGAAUAAAGAUAUUAAACUCCACGAUUCAGCAUGUUUCUUGUGAUCAUGCCACCUUUACUGGACCAAAAAUCCUAAUAGACUACUUUAUAAUUAGCAAUUAACUGCUCCUUUCUAUCUGGCAUGUUUAGAGUUCUUUUCCUCCAGGGGAGGAAAAAUCAAUCACAGAAAAAUGGACUCUGAACACAUGCUGGUGGGACAACAGUUUAGCCAAACGCAAAAUAAGACACACACUUUUCCAACUGCCACAAUUGGCAAAUCUUUGCAGAAGCCUCAUGAAAAAAAUAAAGCAGAAAGUUUAACAGCUAACUGGGAAUGGCUUGGGCUUUUGAAACCUCAAAGCGUGCCCCCAGUGAUACACCUCCUCGAAUAAGGCCACUCUUAUUAAGGUUUAAGGUUAAAGUUUAACCUUAAAAUGUUUUAGGAUAACUCACAAUCCGCCCAUCGCCACUGCCGAUGUCCACCAGGGGUCCUCUUCUGUGUCGCAGCAUCCUGACAACAUUUUCAACCUGCUUCGAAGUUGCAGGCACGAAUGGCAAACAAACUUUCCGGAGGGCCGGGGUGAUGAAUGGUGUGGCCACAGCAUACACUGUCAGCAGUGCACCACCAACGACCCCAGUAAUCAAGAAUCCCCAACUGGUCCUCUUUGAACUGUCGGAUUCCAGACUCGUAGGAAGAACAGGGCCCGCCUGUCUUUCUUCCUCAGGCGUUCCUAGAUUUGAGCCAUCAUUGGGGGAAAGCAGAAACACUUGGAGCACACACUAGAAAGCCAAGGCUGCAUCUUCUCAGCAGCCCUUCUCACACUGACUCGUGCUGCGUGUGUGUGUGUGUGUGUGUGUGUGUGUGUGUGUGUGUGUGUGUGAGAGAGAGAGAGAGAGAGUGUGUGUGUGUGUGUAUGAGAGAGAGAGUGUGUGUGUGUGUGUGUCUGUGUGUCUGUGUGUGUGUGUGUGUUCGAGUGUGUGUAUGAGUGUUAGUGUGUGUGUACGUGUGUGUGCGUGCACGCACGUGUGUGUGCAUGUGUGAGCGAGUGUUCAAGUGUGUGAGUGUUCAAGUGUGUGUAUGAGAGUGUGGAGGGUGUGUGAGAGUGUGUGUGUGUGUGUGUGUGUGUGUGUGUGAGAGAGAGAGAGAGUGUGUGUAUGUGUGUGUGUGUUCCAGUGUGUGUAUGAGUGUUAGUGUGUGUACGUGUGUGAGAGAGUGUGUGAGUGUGUGAGAGUAUUCAAGUGUGUGUAUGAGAGUGUGGAGGGUGUGUGAGAGUGUGUGUGUGUGUGUGUGUGUGUGAGAGAGAGAGAGAGAGAGUGUAUGUGUGUGUGUAUGUGUUCGAGUGUGUGUAUGAGUGUUAGUGUGUGUACAUGUGUGUGCAUGCACGCACGUGUGUGUGUGUGUGAGAGAGUGUGUGAGUGUGUGAGAGUAUUCAAGUGUGUGUAUGAGAGUGUGGAGGGUGUGUGAGAGUGUGUGUGUGUGUGUGUGAGAGAGAGAGAGAGAGAGAGAGAGAGAGAGUGUAUGUGUGUGUGUAUGUGUUCGAGUGUGUGUAUGAGUGUUAGUGUGUGUACAUGUGUGUGCAUGCACGCACGUGUGUGUGUGUGAGAGAGUGUGUGAGUGUGUGAGAGUGUUCAAGUGUAUGUAUGAGAGUGUGGAGGGUGUGUGAGAGUGUGUUUUGUGUGUGUGUGUGUGUCCCCACAGAGGCCAGAACAGGGUAUCAGAUUCUCUGGAGUUGGAGUCUCAGGUGACUGUGGCUGCCUGACAUUGUUAAUGGGAACCAACCUUGAGUCCUCUGUAAGAGCAGCAAGUAUUCUUAACCCCUGAGCAACCUCUCCAGCCCCACUAAUCCCUUCUAAAGGACAAGUUCACUGAAUGCUGUAUAAAAUUCUACAAUGACUUCUAAAUCCCACUGGCAAAAUUAAAGUGAUUUGGGAAAGUUCUUCAAUACUAAAGAAAGAUUAAAAUCUUUCCAAUGUACUGACUUAGUGUGUCUAGGACUCUCGUAAUUAAUGUGUUAUCUUAGUAUCCAUUAUUGCAAGUUUUAAUCAUAAAACUCCACAUUUUAAUAGUCUGAUCAAAGAAAGCGUCAGCUUGGAAACCCAGUGUUUUUAGGCUUUACUAGGACAGAAUUAAUACAAAUACAAUUUGUCCAUUUAAUGUGUACAGUUCAACGGGUUUUAGUAUAAGUGUGUGUGAGCCUCAUCAGUCAAUUAUAGAAGAUUUUUACUGCCCAAGAACUCCUCUAUCCUUCAGCUGUCUUCUCCCCAUCCACCCUCUGCCACCCACCCUAAGUACCACUACGUUUAGUCUCUACUUCCUCAACUUCGGACUUACACUAAUUGUCUUCAAAGGUGACUUAUAUCAACUAGCUUGCAAAGGCCAGGGAGAGCUCAGUGGGCAGAGUGCUUGCUGUUCAGAUUCCCAGCACCCAUGGAAAAGACAGGCGCAACCACAGCACUGGAAGGUGAUGACAAAUCCCAGAAGCUGGCUGUCAAGCCAGCCUCGCAAAAACAGGCAAGGUCGGUGAGUGACCAUCCCAAAAAAAUUAAGUGGACUACAACAGAAAUACCUACAUCAAACUGUGGCCUACAUGAGUACACAUAUGGAACUCCUGCACACACACAGGACCAUGCAAAUAUACACAUAAAUAUGCACACACAUACAGUAUGUGGUCUCUCACCAUCUUACUACACUUAAAAUGAUAUCCUCUGGAUUCAUCCAUGUUGCUCCUAACCAGUACCUUACAGAUGAACCUAAGUAUUAUUAUUUAAAUAAGAAUUUUUUCUGGGGGGCUGGCGAGAUGGCUCAGCCGGUAAGAGCACUGACUGCUCUUCCAAAGAUCCCGAGUUCAAAUUCCAGCAACCACAUGGUGGCUCACAACCACCAGUAAUCAGAUCUGACACCCUCUUCUGGUGCAUCCAAAGUCAGCUACAGUGUACUUAUGUAUAAUAAUAAAUAAAUCCCUUUUUUAAAAAAAGAAAGAAUUCUUUCUGUCAUAGACAGAUCAUACUGUAUCAAUUUGGGCUACGACAGUUAAACACAAAUCAGAUGGCCCAAGGUCUGCCUCACCUGUAGACACAUGCACAAAGCCAGAAGGUAGACAAUAAUGACGCCCCGGUCUCCAGGGUCUCCCAGCUGGCCUUUGAGUUGUAGAAACCAACUGAGGCAAAGACGUGUCAGCCUAUGUAUGAGCAUCUGAAGGAAUACAGGGGAAAGGAAACUAGGAAUCUGAACUGAGGGCAAAAGCAUCGAACCACUGGGCCCGUGCAAGCAAGAAGAGUGGGAGCGGAGCAGCCGCCUGACUGGAAGGCGGUCUGUGACCCACGUGGGAAUCUGCUCGCUCCUGCACCACGUGGGACCGAGACCUAGCACAAGCGGUCAGGCUUGGCAACAAGCGCCUUUACUUGCCGUGCCAUCCUUGAAGUCUUUCUUGAACCUAGCUUGAUGUCCACCAACAGUGGAAUGGAUACAGUGUGGUGUACAUACACACAGAGCUUUAUUCAACUGUAAACUAAUGACUCAGAACCAUCAUGUUUUCGCUCAGAUGCAGAAUCUUGUUGUAUACAAGUGUGUGUGCUGUGUUGAGAGGGAAGACCAGGAGGAGAGAGGAUAAUGAGGACAGCUUAUAGGUCAAUGGCAAGGUACAAUUACAUAUAUAUAUAUGAAUGAAAAUGUCACAAUGAAACCUUGUUUGUGUUAACUUUAAAAACCUUGUCCUGACAUAAUGUCAAUCUGUGUCAUGUAACAGCACAGACCUGAAAGCUAGCCUACUGUCAUACAGGUUAUAUGCACUCUAAUUUUGAGUACCUAAUAAAAACAGACAAUACGGCAGGGACAGUUUCUGUUCUGUGGGGUACGAGUGGAGAGACUGGAAACUCGUCACAAAUAAAUCCGAGCUUAUAAAAUGAAUCGUGAUUUCUGGCAGACGUACCGUGCAGUUACCCUUACGGGGUAUCUUUCUAACAGCAAAACGCUGAGAACAAGAGACUCUGAGCACCAGCCGGUGCUACUUUGUCUCCACCUACAGUACACGCGCGGGGAAGGCCCAGGAUCUGUGUAACCUGGGAAGUUAAGGACAAAUACUAUGUGCUGACGACCAGGCACGUCCAGCAACCUUGUGAAACAAGAAAACAAAGCUACAGGCUCAAUAGCUUCCAAGCAGCAGCUCGUCCACCGCAGGGUGGAUUCCAGCCGACCUAGGAUCGGGCUGAGCAGUGAGUCUUGUGCACGGAGGUGCGGACAGCAGCCCCCAGCAAGCACUGUGGUAGCCACGACCGGCGCGGGACGGAGAGCACCGCAGCCACGCGCGCCCGAUCCCCACAAGCGCCCGCGCCACAGACAACUAUAUCGC